GGUGAAAUGGCCGAGCGGUCUAAGGCGUCACGUUCAGGUCGUGAUCUCUUCGGAGGCGUGGGUUCGAACCCCACUUUCAUCA